rnacentral:lncRNA from 1 species
UCAAAAUCAAAUCAGAACCAGAUGAGUCAACAGACUCGGAUGUUAAAAUGGAGUAUCAGUUGAAGCUUCAGCCAAGCCUGGAUAAAAAGCCAUCUCUUAAGUAUAUUCUCGCCCUCCCAAAACGAACGCCCGAUAACAACAAUGUAGCAAAUGCUAGGAUAAAAACGCAGCCGGAUAUUUUGUGUACAAGGCCAAAUACAAAGAAGAAUGGCUCAUCCCCAGUGAAAAGACUGAACGGAGCCUGCAACAAAUUCAUGCUGCCGAAUACGGACAUUUCUCUUGGGGCAAGAACCGGGCCAAAACCACCAUUUAAAGAAGAACCUGUUGUAACAGUCGAAGACAAACUUCACAAUGUUGAAUAUGAUGUAAAUACAUUCAAGAACAUCAAAUUUGUGAAGGAAGUAGGCACAAAUCCACAGAAGCCAGGAAAUCAGUACAUUACGCUAAGAGAUGUGCGACUUCAAAAGGCUGUAAGCUCAUCAUAGAGCCAAAACGUGAAGUCGAAAACAGUACUGAUAAUGUUCGAGUUUCUUUAGUCAACCUGCCCAUGCUCGAUACCGGUCAAAUCAAGACAGAGGAAAGAUUACCCCAGAAGCCGGGCAGCAAUGACAGCUUGCAAAUUUUAUGUGAUAUCGCCGCUGCAUAUGGGCAAAACAACUUGAACGACCCUAGGAUAUCAAGCUCACUCAAAACUGAGCCUGAACCUGAACCUGAAAUGCCAGAACUACUUACAUCAGAGGUCAUUGAGGAUGAUGACUCAAACGACAGGUAUCAGUGCUCGGUGGAGAGCGACCCGCCUGUGAUUAGUCCUCAAGUCAGUAUGUUUCCGACGCUACCUACCGCAGGCUCAGCAAAAGAUCGGCCUAGUGUUAGUGGCGUUUCCAUCCAGACCGAUGUUUCCUUUUUUAACCCUAAGAUUAACGGCCAAGACAGCACCAGCGCAACAACAUCUAGCGUCUCUUCAUGUCUUGCAAAGGACUCUGAAUCCUCGCAAAUAGUUCCUGUUGCUCAGUCAAAUGAAUUAUUAAUUUGUAAACUAAAAAACCUGGUAAGCCACAUUUCUUUUCAGUUUUUUCAAAAACAGCAUCCUACAGGUGGCUCAAGAGGUUUGGUGUCAUUGAAUUCAAAUUCUAGCAAUAAGAGAAAAAUCUAUCUGUUCCUCAAAAAUCUCAAGCUAAUAAUUACUUUUUUCAAUGGAAGAAAAGCAAUCACUAUCUCUUUUCAUUGAACGAAAUUUUUGACUGUUCAUUGCUUUUUUAGGUUUAUUUAAUGAGAGAGACCUUUAAUUAUUUUUCAGAAUCUAAAACUUCUCACAGAAAACUCAUCAUUAAUUUAUUAUUCUGUUCUCUACAAGGAAGCUCAGUUGUUUUUUGCCUUAUUUUAAAGAUUAAUCCUCAUCUGAACCCGGUGUUCUCACAACUUUAUGUUCCUGAAUUGAAUUCAAAUAGCACUUCUAAGAGUAAAUCUAAGCUAUGUAUUAACUGUAAUAAAAAGUAGUGCUUAUGCUUGUAUCACAAGUUUUGAUUGGUAAGACCUUUACCUUAUGUGUGUCAUAAAACGAUAUACUAAUUAUGGUUCAAGUUAUGUGAUAUCUUCACUUUCUUCAUGUUAUAGAUGAUGAAUGUAGUAUAAAUCGCAGAAAUAAACUCACAAAGUCUUUUACUUUUCUUGGUAAGUUAAAGUCGGUGUAAUCUCAUUUUGCAUUAUGCUUAUUUCUCUUUAACUGAAUUAGCUAUUCUUGCAUCAAUGACAUACCUCAAACUUUUGGACG